UACGUAGGGUGCAAGCGUUAAUCGGAAUUACUGGGCGUAAAGCGUGCGCAGGCGGUUGUGCAAGACAGAUGUGAAAUCCCCGGGCUCAACCCGGGAACUGCGUCCGAUACUGGAAGGCUUGAAUCCGGGAGAGGGAUGCGGAAUUCCAGGUGUAGCGGUGAAAUGCGUAGAUAUCUGGAGGAACACCGGUGGCGAAGGCGGCAUCCUGGACCGGUAUUGACGCUGAGGCGCGAAAGCCAGGGGAGCAAACGGG
rnacentral:rRNA from 1 species